rnacentral:lncRNA from 1 species
GUUCACCAAUCUACUAGGCUUUGAAUUUCAUGGUAAUGUUUUGUUUUUGAGUGCAUACAAGCAUGAUUCCGCCUUUAAUUGUUAAUUGCAUGCUAUAUGAUGUUGCUCAAAUGAACAUGUUUUCACAAAAUAAUUCCUUCAGAACUCACCUUCGUACCACCAACCAAGUGAUAACAGCAACUCACCAUUCAUUCCACCUACCAGAAGACGAGUGGUAUAACUUGUACAUGUGAACUCCUAGCAUUCACAAAUAAUAAAAAACCCUCAAGCUUGACAACUCAACUAGGGGAGCACUUAUGCCCAACAAGAGUUAUGGUCACCAACAAAGUCUUAGCCAACAACAACUUCAAUGCAUGGCAUACGAAGAUCAAGCCAUUCAGCCCUCUUGCAUCUGUUUCGAACAUUUCCCCUCUAUAACAAUGCAAACACUACAACUCAUAGAAAGCCUCACACACUCUUGAUCAAGACAGUGUGAAGCAAAACCAAUUUAUGGUGCCAACAAGAGCUUCAUCAAAGGAGUUCAACCUCAAUUCUCAAAGCUUCACAAACUUUUGAUCAAGACAGUGUGAA